GCUCCUCUCCCUCCAUACCUCCCUGCAAGCUGACAGAGCAGGCUGUGGCCUUGGCCAGCCCAGAAAGGGGUUCCCACAGUGCAGCGGUGGGCUGAAGGGCUCCUCAAGUGCCGCCAAAGUGAGAGCCCAGGCAGAGGAGGCGCUGAGAGCGAGCAAGGGCUCUGAGGACUGUCAGCACGCUGUCACCUCUCACUAUUGUGAGACUUCACGUUGUGAUGGUCAAUCUAUCUAACAGCCUGUGGAUGAGGUCAAAGGAAAGAGGGAAGAAAGGAGAAAGGGGAGAAGGAAAGAACUUGAGGCUUUGAUGACCGUUGGAAUGCAGAGAAGCUAUGAGAAAAGAGCUACAAGAGAAAAAUGGCAGCAUUGCAAAGUGCAAGAACACUGAAGGGAUUAAACAGCAUUCUAGAAAACAAGACAGACCAUGAAGAGUAUGGGAAGAAACAGGAAGGCCUAUUUCCCGGUACCAUACCCAGAAGCUGUAUAAUAGGGACAACUUGCAGGCUGAGGUGCUCUCUGUGUCCUGACAUGUCAGAUUUGGGAAAUGAGUGAAGCAGAUUUACAGAUUUGCUUACUUUGGUUAAAGAACUUUACAUGUACUUCUAUCAAAACCUGAAUAUUGGCUGGGCAUGGUGGCACUUGCCUGUAGUCCCAGCUACUUGGGAGGCUGAGGCACAAGAAUUGCUUGAACCCAGGAGGCAGAGCGUGCAGUAAGCCGAGAUCCCGCCACUGCACUCCAGCCUGGGCUACAGAGUGAGACUCCAUCUCAAAAACAAACAAACAAAAAAACAAACAAACAAAAACAACACCCACAUAUCCAUUCAUUCUUUCUCUUUUAAUAAAG
rnacentral:lncRNA from 10 species